GGGUUCAUACGUUGGUCGGGCUUUUUGGUCUGUACUGGCGUAAUGGAUUCCUACCUUCUGAACAACCAGCAUGCUAUUAAGUUAGUGCGUUGGGGAAGCAGAGCUAUUACCUUGAAAAAAUUAGAGUGCUUAAAGCAAGCUUGUGCUUGAAUAGGUUAGCAUGGAAUAAUAAAAUAGGACGGCAUGGUUCUAUUUUGUUGGUUUCUGGGAUCACCGUA
rnacentral:rRNA from 1 species